UCUGAGGCUCUAAAUUUUCCGUUUUUUUCCUGGCAGAUACUUUUUCCUGUGUUGUGAUGUUCAAGAGCCAUAGCCGUGCCCUGGAAUGCAGAGGAAAAUCAGUUUAUCCCUCCUCAUCUCACUAGAAACUGAACUGCUGAAGGGGGCAAAAUUCCAAGCUGGGUUUUCUACCUUUACUAGUUGAGGAUCUGUGCUACAUAGUGGUCCAAAGCCCAUGCCUUGUAGAGAUGAGACUGAGACUAGUACAAAACUGGAAACGUGUAUUGCUGCUGUGAUCGGUAGAAGCUGUGUGGAUGUGGCUUUUGCACACAGGAAACUGAACCAGACCACGCCUGUAGCACGAAGUUCAUCAUCUGAUUCCUGACAGGGACCCACACCAGAAGCUUUGGAGAAAGGGAAAGCUUGUUCCAGCUCCCCAGAUCCGUGACAGAUACUGCCUUCACUUCAAGCAAGCUGUUCCAGUCAGUCUGUAACACCACCAAACUGACUACAGAUUUCAUCAUUGGGCAGUAAAAUACCCAAGGACCCGACCCCCGUGAGCUGCUGAAUCCAUUUUAAGAAGUUGGGCCGAUCAUCAGGGAGUGAGUUGGUAACUACAGACCCGAUUGCAGAGCUGGAGUCUGCUCUGCGCUUCCCAACGCAUCCUUCGUGAAUCACCGUUUCUCUCGCUUUGAUUGUAACUCUUUAGGACAAAAAACCCGAGCCUGCACAAGGAACAGCAAUAGCCAGGCUAUCAGUAAUGAAGCACAGAGAGCUUCAGCUGGAAGUACGCAAGGCAUGAGCCAUGGAAGCCUCAGGCCCCUGCUGCAGCCGGGAGAAAGACUUUUAACUUCCAUUAUUCAGUAUCACGCAGGGUUAGGUUGCACGUUAUCACUUGCAUGCACAAAUGCCCAGUAUAAAUAAAUAUUGCCUAUUUGCGUGUACAAACUAAGUGUGUCCUGAAGUUAUAUGCAUACAGACAGUCAUGUCCUCAACCAAAGACCAGUUUGAGAUCCUCUGGGACAUACAGCUCCCUGCCAUCCGCAACGGAAGCCUUGAAGCUUAUUUCCAGGUGCUGCAUCCAGUGCCAAGCAAGACGGAAGAGCCACAGUUGGCGUGUAGAUAAUGCGACAUUUCAGUCGGAUCAGAUGAAGAACCUUACUGUCGCUGGGGAAAGCUCAUUUGUUGCUCAACAGUGAAGAAUAAAUCAGGCCUCCUAUAGUGCAUUUUACCUCUAAAGUACUCCGUAAGAAGAUGACUAUUAUUACUUUUUC